AUUGAACGCUGGCGGCAGGCCUAACACAUGCAAGUCGAGCGGAUGAAGGGUGCUUGCUCCUGGAUUCAGCGGUGGACGGGUGAGUAAUGCCUAGGAAUCUGCCUGGUAGUGGGGGAUAACGUCCGGAAACGGGCGCUAAUACCGCAUACGUCCUGAGGGAGAAAGUGGGGGAGCUUCGGACCUCACGCUAUCAGAUGAGCCUAGGUCGGAUUAGCUAGUUGGUGGGGUAAAGGCCUACCAAGGCGACGAUCCGUAACUGGUCUGAGUGGAUGAUCAGUCACACUGGAACUGUGACACGGUCCAGACUCCUACGGGAGGCAGCAGUGGGGAAUAUUGGGCAAAGGGCGAAAGCCUGAUCCAGCCAUGCCGCGUGUGUGAGGAAGGUCUUCGGAUUGUAAAGCACUUUAAGUUGGGAGGAAGGGCAGUAAGUUAAUACCUUGCUGUUUUGACGUUACCAACAGAAUAAGCCCCGGCUUACUUCGUG
rnacentral:rRNA from 1 species